rnacentral:rRNA from 1 species
UACGGGGGGAGCAAGCGUUGUUCGGAUUUACUGGGCGUAAAGGGCGCGUAGGCGGCGUGACAAGUCACUUGUGAAAUCUCCGGGCUUAACUCGGAACGGUCAAGUGAUACUGUCGUGCUAGAGUACAGAAGGGGCAACUGGAAUUCUCGGUGUAGCGGUGAAAUGCGUAGAUAUCUGGAGGAAUACCGGUGGCGAAGGCGGCAUCCUGGACCGGCAUUGACGCUGAGGAGCGAAAGCCAGGGGAGCAAACGGG